rnacentral:rRNA from 1 species
GUGAGGAAUUUUCCGCAAUGGGCGAAAGCCUGACGGAGCAAUGCCGCGUGAAGGAUGAAGGCCUAUGGGUUGUAAACUUCUUUUCUCAGAAAAGAAUUAUGACGGUAUCUGAGGAAUAAGCAUCGGCUAACUCUGUGCCAGCAGCCGCGGUAAGACAGAGGAUGCAAGCGUUAUCCGGCAUGAUUGGGCGUAAAGCGUCUGUAGGUUGUUUAAAAAGUAUUCUGUCAAAGAUUAGGGCUUAACCAUAGAUAGGCAGAAUAAACUUUUAAGCUAGAGUUUGGUAGAGGCAGAGGGAAUUCCCGGUGGAGCGGGGAAAUGCGUAGAUAUCGGGAGGAACACCAAAGGCGAAGGCACUCUGCUGGGCCAAUACUAACACUGAGAGACGAAAGCGAGGGGAGCAAAUGGGAUUAGAUACCCUUGUAGUCC